rnacentral:rRNA from 1 species
UACGUAGGGGGCAAGCGUUGUCCGGAUUUAUUGGGCGUAAAGAGCGUGUAGGCGGCCAGACGGGUCCGUUGUGAAAACUCGAGGCUCAACCUCGAGACGCCGAUGGAAACCGUCUGGCUAGAGUCCGGAAGAGGAGAGUGGAAUUCCUGGUGUAGCGGUGAAAUGCGCAGAUAUCAGGAAGAACACCCGUGGCUAAGGCGGCUCUCUAGUACGGUACUGACGCUGAGACGCGAAAGCGUGGGGAGCAAACAGG